rnacentral:rRNA from 1 species
UCCUACGGGAGGCAGCAGUGAGGAAUAUUGGUCAAUGGGCGGGAGCCUGAACCAGCCAAGCCGCGUGAGGGAAGAAGGUACAGCGUAUCGUAAACCUCUUUUGUCAGGGAACAAAGGCGGGGACUAGUCCCCGGAUGAGGGUACCUGAAGAAAAAGCAUCGGCUAACUCCGUGCCAGCAGCCGCGGUAAUACGGAGGAUGCGAGCGUUAUCCGGAUUUAUUGGGUUUAAAGGGUGCGCAGGCGGCCUGUUAAGUCAGCGGUAAAAGCCCGGGGCUCAACCUCGGCGAGCCGUUGAAACUGGCGGG